CCCUACGUCAACGGUCGCUCUCGUCGACUUCAUAUUCUCCUUGGAGCUCGAGUAGCGACGUGAAGUCUUUUCAUAGUAAAUCAACACUGUGGUUGGAAUCGGAUACAGAUGACGAACAUGGAAUUGGAAAUUGGUCUACAUCAGAACCAUCAAUAAUUUCGCUAGCAGAUUCAUGGUCAUCAACAGAUGUUACUUAUGAAUCGGAUGCAGACGUGUUACCUCCACUUCUGCGUCUUAAUCAGCCAGCUAUUGAAACCAUUUGGCUAACUGAUUCGGAUUAAUAUGGUUUUUAGGGAGGUAUUUAUUAUUGUUGAAAACAUGAACGUUAGAGAUCACUGUUAACAGAUAGAGUUGUUGGAAAUUAUUGUCAUGUGUACUCUACGCUAUGAGACUUAAAUGUUUUAAAAUCAAUGAGGUGAACCCUUCACUAACCGAAGAUAACCACAAUCUGGAGACCAUCUUGCAUGCUCGAUCCAAGGUUCGUCGUUCGGCUCCCAAGAUCUCAGACCUUGACGACAAUAAAAACAUGAGACAUCAUCAUUUGAUCCAUCACCAAUAUAAAUAAAACCGGCUUCACUCAUAAGUUCUCGCUUUGAAAUAAGUAGUGUAUUACUACAUUUAUCAAAAGUCUUGUUACGCGUUUUACAAUCUAAAUAGUCUAAUGUACAAAAAACAUCACAUUCACUAUUAUAAU